AGUGAACGCUGGCGGUAGGCCUAACACAUGCAAGUCGAACGGCAGCACAGGAGAGCUUGCUCUCUGGGUGGCGAGUGGCGGACGGGUGAGGAAUACAUCGGAAUCUACUCUGUCGUGGGGGAUAACGUAGGGAAACUUACGCUAAUACCGCAUACGACCUACGGGUGAAAGCAGGGGAUCUUCGGACCUUGCGCGAUUGAAUGAGCCGAUGUCGGAUUAGCUAGUUGGCGGGGUAAAGGCCCACCAAGGCGACGAUCCGUAGCUGGUCUGAGAGGAUGAACAGCCACACUGGAACUGAGACACGGACCAGACGCCUACGGGAGGCAGCAUGGGGGAAUAUUGGACAAUGGGCGCAAGCCUGAUCCAGCCAUACCGCGUGGGUGAAGAAGGCCUUCGGGUUGUAAAGCCCUUUUGUUGGGAAAGAGAUCCGACUGGCUAAUACCCGGUUGGGAUGACGGUACCCAAAGAAUAAGCACCGGCUAACUUCGUGCCAGCAGCCGCCGUAA
rnacentral:rRNA from 1 species